rnacentral:lncRNA from 1 species
AUCUGGGGAACAUUACCGACCACAGUUAUGCAUCUAUCACCAUUUGGAUUUGUUACAGCUGUCAAGCUCUGAGAUGACUCAUUAUGCUGCUGGGAUCAACCGCCCUAAGGGCAGCACUGACCAUGGGGGACGGAGCUGUGUUGUUCAGCGCCAGAGCUGGAAGAAAACUGUUCACAAGAGAGGCUCACCCUCAGCCCCAACUUCUUCAAAAAGAGUAUGUGGCUUGGGCACCCACCACAUGUAAAAGCGGCAAAGGCGCUCCUGGGCUUCAGCAGCUCUGGGGGACUUCGGCAACUGCCUCCAUGCCAAAAUAAGUCCCUAUUGUCCAUCCAUGCCACUCCUCAAGCUCUGUCUCUCCAGCACUGCAGCAAAUACCACGUGACAACAAACAAGGCUCGGCGGAUCCCCUCCACAGCUUGCUGCACCUCAUCUCUCUCUGUCCCUUAUUUAUUAAACCUUGUGAAGGCAUGUAGCAGUGGGGAUUUUGUCCCCAUAGACUACACAUUGGUUGAAGAUUACUGCUUUAUUAUCAGAGUUGGAAAUCUACUGCUUUAUUAUUAAGGUAUUUUCUGCAUUAUAUUGUUGGUCUGAAGCACAGCAAUUUAAUUUUAUAACCAUCAGCUCUUUGACCUACCCAGUACCUAUGUUUUCCCCAGUCUAUUCAAAAUACUGCAGCCAAAAAYAGAAAUCUACUGAUUUCUUCCCCUCUUCUAGGCAUCCUUUUCAGAGUUUUGACCACAUCCAUCCCCACAGGCAUCUUAUUUCCAGUGGCUCACCCUUGGUUUUUAGCCUGCAGCCCAAAUUUAUGUUUUUGUUUUCUCCAUUUCUUGCAUGCAACCCUGUGCCUUAUUUUCUGAUGUUUCUCUGCCUGCCUUCUUAAUACAAUCUAUGGGUCCUUGAUCCUAUACAGACAUGUCCUGCCUCCCUCCUUGUCAAAAAUCUUUUUCCCCAUAAUCCUUCCAUCAAUAAACCUUUAAUCUUUUUCA